rnacentral:misc_RNA from 1 species
AAGUCGUAACAAGGUAACCGUAGGUGAACCUGCGGAUGGAUCAUUAUUGUAAUGAAUGCUAUUGGUGAGUUGAUCUCCCUUGGGGAGAACCUCGCCAAUGGUAUAACAACCUUUGUGAACCAUAAUGUACUCUGGGUCGAUGCUAACCCGCUUGGGAAAGUAUUCGACCCGCACUAAGAAUCAACAAUUUAAACUUGACAUAAUAUUUUUUAAGUAAAAUUAAAACAACUUUAGACAACGGCUCUUGGCUCUC